CCAGACUCCUACGGGAGGCAGCAGUGAGGAAUAUUGGUCAAUGGCCGAAGGGCUGAACCAGCCAAGCCGCGUGAAGGAAUAAGGCCCUACGGGUCGUAAACUUCUUUAGUCAGGGAACAAAGGGAGCCACGCGUGGCGCUGUGAGUGUACCUGAAGAAUAAGCAUCGGCUAACUCCGUGCCAGCAGCCGCGGUAAUACGGAGGAUGCGAGCGUUAUCCGGAUUUAUUGGGUUUAAAGGGUGCGUAGGCGGUCUGUUAAGUCAGCGGUAAAAUUGCGGGGCUCAACCCCGUCGAGCCGUUGAAACUGGCAGACUUGAGUUGGCGAGAAGUACGCGGAAUGCGCGGUGUAGCGGUGAAAUGCAUAGAUAUCGCGCAGAACUCCGAUUGCGAAGGCAGCGUACCGGCGCCAGACUGACGCUGAGGCACGAAAGCGUGGGGAUCGAACAGGAUUAGAUACCCCUGUA
rnacentral:rRNA from 1 species